UGCCCCGUGAAAUAUGCAACACCAGAAUUUCAACAAAACUCCAUAGCUGAAUUGCUGAAUAAAUUAAAACGUUACCAAGGUAAAUAGAAUUGCGGUUGCAAGAAGUGGUGACAAUUGUUGGUAACAAAACUAGAUUGUUACAAAAUGUUCGGUUACAAGCAGAAUAGGCCUGUAUAUCUCAUAAGUAGA